AACGAACGCUGGCGGCAUGCCUAACACAUGCAAGUCGAACGAGACCUUCGGGUAUAGUGGCGCACGGGUGCGUAACGCGUGGGAACCUGCCCUUAGGUUCGGAAUAACUCCCCGAAAGGGGUGCUAAUACCGGAUAAUGUCUUCGGACCAAAGAUUUAUCGCCGUUGGAUGGGCCCGCGUUGGAUUAGCUAGUUGGUAGGGUAAAAGCCUACCAAGGCGACGAUCCAUAGCUGGUCUGAGAGGAUGAUCAGCCACACUGGGACUGAGACACGGCCCAGACUCCUACGGGAGGCAGCAGUGGGGAAUAUUGGACAAUGGGCGAAAGCCUGAUCCAGCAAUGCCGCGUGAGUGAUGAAGGCCUUAGGGUUGUAAAGCUCUUUUACCCGGGAUGAUAAUGACAGUACCGGGAGAAUAAGCUCCGGCUAACUCCGUG
rnacentral:rRNA from 1 species